rnacentral:misc_RNA from 1 species
GGACGGGGACGUUCAAGUUCAAGAGUAGAACGCUUGCACUAUACACACGGAUACAUAUAUGCGCGUACAUACACUCAAUACUAUCUCCCUCUCUCUCGCUUUGCGUUUUGGGUCGCCUUUAUUCUCUGAUGUUUGUUGAUGGUUCUGCACCUCUGCCUCUGAAGAGAAGGAGACUCACCACCAUUGAUAUCAUGGAAGCUGAAGCAGCUAAGGCCAAACUUGCAGCUGUCAAGGAAAAGGUUGGGCGAGAUGUCCGUGUUUUUGAAACAUUAGGGCUUUCUUCUUCAACAAAUCAAGUGUCUGAUGAGGAGUCAGAUGACUUCUAUGAGUUCACUGCAGAGGAUUAUCAUAGAAUUUUGGCAACAAGAAAGGAAGAUAAAUAUUUGAAGACUAAAAAAAUUCGAGAUGCCGAAGAAGCAGCUCGCAGGUCAAGAAUAACAAAGGCUGUGAUUAGGGUUCGCUUUCCUGAUAAUCAUACAUUGGAGGUAGCUUUUCUUCCAUCAGAAAAGAUUCAGAGUUUAUUUGAUCUUCUCAUGAAAGUGGUUGCACGACCAGAAGUACCUUUCUAUUUAUAUACAACUCCUCCCAAGAAGCAAAUAAAAGACAUGCUGCAGGAUUUUUACUCGGCUGGCUUUGUUCCUGGUGCAAUUGUGUAUUUUUCAUAUGAUCUACCGCAAGGAGAUGAUUCUGCAGCUCUCAGUUCUGGUCCCUUCCUCCAAGAAGAGAUAAUGUCUUUGAAAGGUUGGGAAUUGAUUUCGGAACCAGCAGAGCCUGUUCAGUCUGCUGGACCAGAACCUGUAACAGUGGCUCCUUCCCCUGUCCCU